UACGAAGGGGGCUAGCGUUGCUCGGAAUUACUGGGCGUAAAGGGAGCGUAGGCGGAUAGUUUAGUCAGAGGUGAAAGCCCAGGGCUCAACCUUGGAAUUGCCCUUGAUACUGGCUAUCUUGAGUACGGAAGAGGUAUGUGGAACUCCGAGUGUAGAGGUGAAAUUCGUAGAUAUUCGGAAGAACUCCAGUGGCGAAGGCGACAUACUGGUCCGUUACUGACGCUGAGGCUCGAAAGCGUGGGGAGCAAACAGG
rnacentral:rRNA from 1 species